rnacentral:rRNA from 1 species
UACGUAGGGGGCAAGCGUUGUCCGGAUUUAUUGGGCGUAAAGAGCGUGUAGGCGGCUAGAUAGGUCCGUUGUGAAAACUCGAGGCUCAACCUCGAGACGUCGAUGGAAACCAUCUGGCUAGAGUCCGGAAGAGGAGAGUGGAAUUCCUGGUGUAGCGGUGAAAUGCGCAGAUAUCAGGAAGAACACCCGUGGCAAAAGCGGCUCUCUGGAACGGUACUGACGCUGAGACGCGAAAGCGUGGGGAGCGAACAGG